rnacentral:lncRNA from 1 species
AUGGGUUCGGGAACCCAAUGUGCAAUGAGAGAGUGGCGUGGGGGUUGUGAGGGUUACGAGGGGUCAGACUCAGGGUUACGAGGGGUCAGACUCAGGGUUUACGAGGGGUCAGACUCAGGGUUUACGAGGGGUCAGACUCAGGGUUUACGAGGGGUCAGACUCAGGGUUUACGAGGGGUCAGACUCAGGGUUUACGAGGGGUCAGACUCAGGGUUUACGAGGGGUCAGACUCAGGGGUUACGAGGGGUCAGACUCAGGGGUUACGAGGGGUCAGACUCAGGGGUUACGAGGGGUCAGACUCAGGGUUACGAGGGGUCAGACUCAGGGUUACGAGGGGUCAGACUCAGGGUUACGAGGGGUCAGACUCAGGGUUUACGAGGGGUCAGACUCAGGGUUUACGAGGGGUCAGACUCAGGGUUUACGAGGGGUCAGACUCAGGGGUUACGAGGGGUCAGACUCAGGGGUUACGAGGGGUCAGACUCAGGGGUUACGAGGGGUCAGACUCAGGGUUACGAGGGGUCAGACUCAGGGUUACGAGGGGUCAGACUCAGGGUUUACGAGGGGUCAGACUCAGGGUUUACGAGGGGUCAGACUCAGGGUUUACGAGGGGUCAGACUCAGGGUUUACGAGGGGUCAGACUCAGGGUUUACGAGGGGUCAGACUCAGGGGUUACGAGGGGUCAGACUCAGGGGUUACGAGGGGUCAGACUCAGGGUUACGAGGGGUCAGACUCAGGGUUACGAGGGGUCAGACUCAGGGUUACGAGGGGUCAGACUCAGGGUUUACGAGGGGUCAGACUCAGGGUUUACGAGGGGUCAGACUCAGGGGUUACGAGGGGUCAGACUCAGGGGUUACGAGGGGUCAGACUCAGGGGUUACGAGGGGUCAGACUCAGGGGUUACGAGGGGUCAGACUCAGGGUUACGAGGGGUCAGACUCAGGGUUACGAGGGGUCAGACUCAGGGUUACGAGGGGUCAGACUCAGGGUUACGAGGGGUCAGACUCAGGGUUACGAGGGGUCAGACUCAGGGUUACGAGGGGUCAGACUCAGGGUUACGAGGGGUCAGACUCAGGGUUACGAGGGGUCAGACUCAGGGUUAUGAGGGUUAUGAGGGGUCAGACUCAGGAUUAUGACAGGACAGAACAGGUGAUGAUUUCAUCAAGAUAUCCAUGA